AUGGGAACGCGAAGAACCUUACCUACUCUUGACAUCCAGAGAACUUUCCAGAGAUGGAUUGGUGCCUUCGGGAACUCUGAGACAGGUGCUGCAUGGCUGUCGUCAGCUCGUGUUGUGAAAUGUUGGGUUAAGUCCCGCAACGAGCGCAAUCCUUAUCCUUUGUUGCCAGCGGUCCGGCCGGGAACUCAAAGGAGACUGCCAGUGAUAAACUGGAGGAAGGUGGGGAUGACGUCAAGUCAUCAUGGCCCUUACGAGUAGGGCUACACACGUGCUACAAUGGCGCAUACAAAGAGAGGCGACCUCGCGAGAGCAAGCGGACCUCAUAAAGUGCGUCGUAGUCCGGAUUGGAGUCUGCAACUCGACUCCAUGAAGUCGGAAUCGCUAGUAAUCGUAGAUCAGAAUGCUACGGUGAAUACGUUCCCGGGUCUUGUACACACCG
rnacentral:rRNA from 1 species